AUACGUAGGGAGCGAGCGUUGUCCGGAAUUACUGGGUGUAAAGGGAGCGUAGGCGGGAGUGCAAGUCAGAUGUGAAAUACAUGGGCUCAACCCAUGGGCUGCAUUUGAAACUGCAUUUCUUGAGUGAAGGAGAGGGAAGCGGAAUUCCUGGUGUAGCGGUGAAAUGCGUAGAUAUUAGGAGGAACACCAGUGGCGAAGGCGGCCUGCUGGACGACAACUGACGCUGAGGCGCGAAAGCGUGGGGAGCAAACAGGAUUAGAUACCCUGGUAGUCCACGCUGUAAACGAUGAAUACUAGGUGUGGGGGGACUGACCCCCUCCGUGCCGCAGUUAACACAAUAAGUAUUCCACCUGGGGAGUACGAUCGCAAGAUUGAAACUCAAAGGAAUUGACGGGG
rnacentral:rRNA from 1 species